rnacentral:lncRNA from 1 species
ACAAAUACGAGCGUUUCUGCAUUUCACUGUCAGAUCCCAUAAACGUCUGCAGCGGCAUCAACACCAAGCCCAGCACCAGGAACUAAUACGAAUCCUGCUGCUGCUAAUGAUGAUGAACUUGACACCAGCUUGAGUAGUACAGAUCCUGUAGACCCAUUGGAUGAAAGCUUUCAGCCAGGAAUAAGCUCAACAUCAUCUGACUCGGAAGAGGAAAAGACUGCACGCGGCUGGCAUGAUCCAAAGUGUAUAGUCUACGAGUCCAAGGUCAUGGAGCUCAUGAAGUUCUGCCAGACCAUCUGCCAUUGCCCAACACAAGAUGAGGUUCACCAGCUAAAGAACAUUCAGGACGCUGCCUGGAACAUUCAGCCAACACAACAUCCAUAUUCAGUUAGACUGAUGUUGUAGUAUAAUAAAGAAUGUCUAGUAUACUCACAACUACUUUGUGGUAUAGAUAUUUCUUGUACAUAUGUAUAUCAUGGAGUUUGAUCAAUUGUUUUAUGUAAUAUUUUUUACAAGUGUACUGACAAGUGACUCAAUGAUUUCAACUGCAUCAAAAACCAAUAAAUUGUUGACUUCCACUUCUGGAUCAAUUCAUUGUGAUAUUCAUUAAAUGUACAAUACCGUUGAAACGUUUGGGGUCACUUAGAAAUGUCCUUGUUUUUGAAAGAAAAG